rnacentral:rRNA from 1 species
CUUCUUGAAUUUAUAUGAAGUCGUGCCUGCCCACUGAUUUAUUAAAUGGCCGCGGUAUUUUGACCGUGCAAAGGUAGCAUAAUCAUUAGUCUUUUAAUUGGAGGCUGGAAUGAAUGGUUUGACGAAACAAUAACUGUCUCAGGAUAAUUAAUUGAAUUUUAUUUUUAAGUUAAAAAGCUUAAAUAAUGACAGGGGACGAGAAGACCCUAUAGAUCUUAAUAUUAUUAUAUUAAAAUAUAUGUUUGGGAGUAUUUUGUAUAUUUUAUUAUGUAAUGUUUUGUUGGGGUGACAAGGGAAUAAUUUAACUUCUUUAUAAUUUACUGUGAUGGUUGGUUAAUUGAUCCUAUUAUUAUGGAAUGAAGAUAAAGAUACCUUAGGGAUAACAGCGUAAUAUUGUUGGAGAGUUCAUAUUGAUAAUAAUGAUUGCGACCUCGAUGUUGGAUUAAGAAAAUUAUUAGGUGCAGGAGCUUAAUAUAUUGGUCUGUUCGACCAUUAAAUUCUUACGUGAUCUGAGUU